rnacentral:rRNA from 1 species
GACAGAGGGUGCAAACGUUGUUCGGAAUUACUGGGCGUAAAGCGCGUGUAGGCGGCUCUGCAAGUCGGGUGUGAAAGCCCUCAGCUCAACUGAGGAAGUGCGCCCGAAACUGCAUGGCUUGAGUACCGGAGAGGAUGGCGGAAUUCCCCAAGUAGAGGUGAAAUUCGUAGAUAUGGGGAGGAACACCGGUGGCGAAGGCGGCCAUCUGGACGGAUACUGACGCUGAGGUGCGAAAGCGUGGGGAGCAAACAGG